rnacentral:rRNA from 1 species
UGGGAAAAGCUCAACUUUAAAAUCUGGCAGCUUUGCUGUCCGAGUUGUAGUCUCGAGAAGCGUUUUCCGCGCUGAAGCAUGCAUGAGUCUGUUGGAAUACAGCGUCAUAGAGGGUGAGAACCCCGUUCGUGGCAUGCCUUUUAGUGCUCUGUGAUACGUUUUCGAU